GAUGAACGCUGGCGGCGUGCCUAAUACAUGCAAGUCGAGCGAACAGACGAGGAGCUUGCUCCUCUGACGUUAGCGGCGGACGGGUGAGUAACACGUGGAUAACCUACCUAUAAGACUGGGAGAACUUCGGGAAACCGGAGCUAAUACCGGAGAAUAUAUUGAACCGCAUGGUUCAAUAGUGAAAGACGGUUUUGCUGUCACUUAUAGAUGGAUCCGCGCCGGAUUAGCUAGUUGGUAAGGUAACGGCUUACCAAGGCAACGAUGCGUAGCCGACCUGAGAGGGUGAUCGGCCACACUGGAACUGAGACACGGUCCAGACUCCUACGGGAGGCAGCAGUAGGGAAUAUUCCGCAAUGGGCGCAAGCCUGACGGAGCAACGCCGCGUGAGUGAUGAAGGUCUUCGGAUCGUAAAACUCUGUUAUUAGGGAAGAACAAAUGUGUAAGUAACUAUGCACGUCUUGACGGUACCUAAUCAGAAAGCCACGGCUAACUACGUG
rnacentral:rRNA from 1 species